CAACGGGUGAGUAACACUGGGCAACCUGCCCAAAANAGGGGGAUAACACUUGGAAACAGGUGCUAAUACCGCAUAACCAUAGUUACCGCAUGGUAACUAUGUAAAAGGUGGCUAUGCUACCGCUUUUGGAUGGGCCCGCGGCGCAUUAGCUAGUUGGUGGGGUAAAGGCUUACCAAGGCAAUGAUGCGUAGCCGAACUGAGAGGUUGAUCGGCCACAUUGGGACUGAGACACGGCCCAAACUCCUACGGGAGGCAGCAG
rnacentral:rRNA from 1 species